GGUCAUCUCGGGUUCCACCCCUGUGUUGCAGUGGCAGACAGGCGUGGUUUAUUGAGGCGGGGCUGUGAGCGCAGUUUGCGGACUGAGCCAACCACCUCUGGACAGGGACGGUCUGGGUGUUUCCAUGGCAUUGAGGAGCGUGGUCAGCCCCGAUGGCAGGGGGGUGGUCCCGGAGACAGCACCGAGCUGGAGCUGCGUCAUGCUCACUGGCAGCGCAGCUGAAAUGGCGGCACCGUCCAAGCUUCUGCAGCAGCUGUGCCGGGCAGUCCUGAAGACACCGUUAGGAUUAAGAAGUUGACACUGACCAGACAGAAUCCUUGGUUUGAAUGGAAUUUAUGCAUCAUGUUUGAGGUGUAUGAAUAUGCAACAGGCUAUUGUUUUUAAGUGUUAUGAGUAGGAAAGUUAACCAUUUUGUUAAAGGUUGCAGAGUUCACAGGUUGGGCCAGUUGCUGCCAGGGAGGAGUUCUAACUGUUCCUUGUUGAUAGUUUCAUGUUGUAAUCACCUGUUAAUAGUCAGUCAUUAACUCCCAAUUGUUGAGAAUUCCCCUUUUUUGUCGAGUACCACCCUGCUGCUGCCUGGAGGAUGGCACACCCCCCCCCCCCCCCCCCCACGACCGGACUAACAUGCAAAUGAGGAAAAAUAUUUCACCAAACCUAACAAAAACCCUUAAAAACAACCAGCCAACACAAAAUUAAGAGAUCGAAGUGAUGUCUAGAAGUGAGGAACAGAAUCCAGUGCCCGCUGAGACCCUUUUUACCUUUCACCAUAACCUAAAAAGACGUCGGCCAGAAAGAGGACCCCGAAUGUCAAACUAUAAAAGUGGGAACAUCCUGGUGCUCUCGUGAGGACGUAACCCCCAGCUCUGCCUGCAGACCAGUGGACAAAGCUGCAUUUUUUUCCUCCUCCUCCAUGCCACUCCUGGAAGCAGCGACGACAUGAACGCAGCCAGUCGAUUCUUCCCACCCGAGCUGAUUUUUAAUAAAGGCAUUAAAAAGGAGAAAGAUCUGCCCUAUUUAUUUUAUAAGGGUUAAUCCUCUGUUAACGCGUGUCCUUUUUUGGGCUUAUUUUGCCCAGAAAGAGGAACCCAGACCGUCUGUAACUUUUUGUUUUUAUUGUCUCCUAUUGUCCUCAUCCUAAUUGUCCAAAGUUUUAUUACUCUAAUUUUAUUACUAUCUUUAUGACCAUUUUAUUACUGUUAAACUUUUAAAAUUAAAAAAAAAAAGUGAUUGACAUUUUCCACAAA